UCCAGACUCCUACGGGAGGCAGCAGUGGGGAAUAUUGCACAAUGGGGGAAACCCUGAUGCAGCGACGCCGCGUGAAGGAAGAAGUAUUUCGGUAUGUAAACUUCUAUCAGCAGGGAAGAAAAUGACGGUACCUGACUAAGAAGCCCCGGCUAACUACGUGCCAGCAGCCGCGGUAAUACGUAGGUGGCAAGCGUUGUCCGGAUUUACUGGGUGUAAAGGGCGUGCAGCCGGGCUGACAAGUCAGAUGUGAAAUCCCGCGGCUCAACCGCGGAACUGCAUUUGAAACUGUUGGUCUUGAGUAUCGGAGAGGCAGGCGGAAUUCCUAGUGUAGCGGUGAAAUGCGUAGAUAUUAGGAGGAACACCAGUGGCGAAGGCGGCCUGCUGGACGACAACUGACGGUGAGGCGCGAAAGCGUGGGGAGCAAACAGGAUUAGAUACCCGAGUACA
rnacentral:rRNA from 1 species